AAUUAUCUACGUAGUGAGUUAUCCCAAUUGAUUGUUCAGGGUCAGUUACAGAUCAAACUCCUUGUUCUACUUCCCCCCCCCCUCUCACUACUGCAAUUGAGUAGUAUUAA
rnacentral:Y_RNA from 1 species